rnacentral:rRNA from 1 species
GGUUAACGCUGGCGGCGUGCCUAACACAUGCAAGUCGAACGGUUCUAAGCGCGAGCUUAGGAUAGUGGCGAACGGGUGAGUAAAAGGUAGGAAUCUACCCCUUGGACGGAGAUAGCUACUGGAAACGGUAGGUAAACUUCGAUAAGCCCGAGAGGGGAAAGUGGUGAGACAGCCGAGGGAUGAGCCUACUCUCCAUCAGGUAGUUGGUGAGAUAAAAGCUUACCAAGCCGAUGACGGAUAACCGGUGUGAGAGCAUGAACGGUCACAAGGGCACUGAGAGACGGGCCCUACUCCUACGGGAGGCAGCAGUGGGGAAUCUUGGACAAUGGGCGAAAGCCUGAUCCAGCGACGCCGCGUGGAGGAAGAAGGCCUUCGGGUUGUAAACCGCUUUAGUCCGGGAAAAGGGGUGCGAGGAUAAUACCCUCGUGCUUUGAUGGUACUGGGAAGAAUAAGCACCGGCUAACUACGUG